ACCCCAGACCAGUCCGAGCCCGAGCCGCCAACUGCUGCAAACUCACCGCGGAGAGACCGGAGUCUGCAUGACAAAGAUUUGAAGAAUUGAUUAGCUGGUGUAAAGUGGUUUCACACCAGAAACGACUGAGAGCUGAAUGUGAGUUUGAGGAGGCUUUAUGACCGGGACAUGAAGGCUGAAGGUCAAGUAUUAACACUUAUAACACUGAAUGGGGAGUGAUUGUGGGGAAAUUAGAGGAGCACAGGAAGAACAAAUGCCAAAAUCAGUGUUCGUCACACACCUGUGAGUAACAGCAGAGUCCAGAUCCGGAACGCUGAUCAGCGGAAGAUUUCCAUUCAUCAUAGAAGAGCGCGACUGCUGCCAUACAAUCCCACCUGGUCAAAUGAAUACAUCAGCACAUGACUGUCUCUACAGCAAGACAUCAACGCCUACUUUUACAUCAUCGCAACCUUGGCCUGCCCACUGGUGCUCAGUCAGAGAGGUGAAGAGGACAGAACAAGAUGGGCCUACUAUUCAUCUGCACCAAAGUGUACUUACACAGGACACCUUCUUCUGCCAAUCUGGACUAAAAGUUUUUAAUUACUGAAUUUAAAAAAAUGCUGUGAUGCCUAAGAGAUGAAGAAAUGAUCAGAUAUGGACCUAUCUUAAGUCCAGAAUAAAUUGACGGUGGAAGGUGUGAGAUGUAGUGCCUGUUAAGACCAGCGUCUCUGCUUUGGUCGCCGCUGAAGCAUCCAAACAUCAGGAAAUAGUGACUGAAGUUUAACAACAUUCCUGAUCGCAUCAGUGCAGGAUGAUAUGUCUGGGUGUCAUGUUUUACCGUGGAUUGUAUUAUGUGUGUUCAGCACAUUUCAGCAUGGAUUGCUUGUGAACAAGUCACAAUAUGAUUCAAGCUUUGUAAACGCAAGUUAUUAAAAGAUGGGGCAGUUAAAAACACUAUUGGACCUGACCGCAAAGCAGUAAGUAAACAGGUCCAUUCAUGAAUGUUUUAUGUCGUGACUCUUUCCAGUGCUGCUGUGCUUGAGUGAACAGUUUGACACAUUCAGAUGCAAUGGGUUGGAUGUGCAUUGUGUGUAAAACCCUGAAAUUUUGUAUUGUAUUGUUGUGGAGCUAGUCUUCUCAUCUGAUUGAGUUUCAGAUGUACAGUAUAGUAUGGCUGUAUUCGAGGGUCUGCACAAUGUGGAUAAAUCUACAGUGGGUGUUAACACUGAAGUUUAAAGGACACACUGAGGGCAAAACCGAGUGUUUCAGACAGAGGGCCAGAGACAGGCUGAAAAAUUAUCAUAGAUUACUCAAUUAUGACUGUUUUGGUGCAAACCAAAAAACCAAAUGUUACUAACAUUAUAAGUAUGUCAUGACACUGUUAAGGUUAGUAAGUACUAUCACUUAUAAUGCACUAACACUUAUAAUGUUUAUAUUUUGUAGCUAUACUUUUGAAACAGUGUGUAUUUGAGCAUUUAUGGACUGGCCACAUUAACUUACAGUGUAAGUCCCCUAUUAUAACUGCUUUUUUUUAAUAAACG